GCUUUUCUGAUGAGAUUGGCAAUUUUUUUUUUUUUUUUUUUACAAAAAAAAAAAAAAACAGCCAGAAAAUAACAAAUGUUAGCAAGGAUGGGGAAAACUAGAACCCUCAGAUGCAGCCAGUGGGAAUGCAAAAUGGCACAGCUGCUGUGGAAGACAGUCUGGAAGUUCCUCAAAAAGCUAAACACAGAAUGAAUACAUGACCCAGCAAUUCCACCCCAGGUACAUACCCAAGAAAAAUGAAAACAUGUAUUCACACAGGAAACUUGUGCAUGAAAUCAGCAUUAUUCACAAUAGUCAAGAUGCAGAAACACCACAAAUGCCCAUCAACUGAUAAAUGAAUAAACAAAACGAGGCGUAAGCACACAGUGGAAUAUUAUUCAGGCAUAAAAAGGAAUGAAACGCUGACACCCGCUACAACACAGAAGAACCCUGGAAACAUGCUCUGUGAAAGAUGCCAGGCACGGAAGAUCACAUACUGUAUGAUACCAUUCAUAAAAACUGUCCAGACUGAGCAAACCCAUGGAUACAGAGUAGACUGCUAGUUGCCAGGGGCUGAGGAGAGAAUGACGUCUGGCUGCUAAUAGGUUCAGAGUUUUUUUGGAAUGAUAAAAAUGUUCUGGAAUUAGCCAGUGAUGAUGACUAUAAAGCUGAUAUGGUUUGGCUCUGUGUCCCCACCCAAAUCUUAUCUCAAACUCUAAUCCCCAUAAUUCCCACAUGUUGAGGGAGGGACGAGGUGGGAGGUGACUGGAUCAUGGGAAGGUUUUCUCCAUGCUGUUCUUGUGAUAGUGAGUGGGCUCUCACAAGAUGUGAUGGUUUUAUAAGGCAGUUUUCCCCACUCUUGCUUGCUCUCUCACGCCUGCCUCCAUGUAAGACGUGCCUCUUCCCCUUCCGCCAUGAUUGUAAGUUUCCCAAGGCCACCCCAGCCAUGUGGAACUGAGUCAAUUAAACCUCUUUUCUUUAUAAAUUACCCAGUCUUGGACAGUUCUUUAGGCAGUGUGAAAACAGAUUAAUACAACACCCUUAUGAAUAUAUUAAAAACUACUGACUAGGCCAGGCACAGUGGCUCACACCUGUAAUCCCAGCACUUUGGGAGCCCGAGGCAGAUGGAUCACUUGAAGGCGAGGAUAUCAAGGCAAGCCUGGCCAACAUGGCAAAACCUUAUCUCUACAAAAAAUAAAAAAAUUACCCAGGCACAGUACCACACACCUGUAAUCCCAGUUACUUGGGAGGCUAAGGCAGAAGAAUCCCUUAAACCCAGGAGGCAGAGGUGGCAGUGAGCCAAGAUCACACCAUGGCACUCCAGCCUAGGUGACAGAGCCAGAGUCUCUCUCUCCAAAAAAUAAAAAUAAAAAAAUUUAAAAAUCCACUGACUAGUACAUUUUAACAAUAGUGAAGUUUAUGGCAUGUAAAUUAUAUCUCAAUUUCUUAAAAACAUUAAUUGAUGAUAGUUUCAAAUUCCACAUAAUUAAUCUUUGAGAAACUAUUGUUUGUCAAAUUUUGGUGUAAUAGCAAAAACAGAUUUGCAUACUUCUCAGAUAACUGCCAUCUUCCUUAUUUAUUUCUUUAUUUUGAGAUGGGGUCUCACCCUGUCACCCAGGCUGAAGUGCAGUGGCAUAAUCACGGCUCAUUGCAGCCUCAAUCUCCCAGGCUCAAGCAAUCCUCCUGCUUCGGUCUCCCAAGUAGCUGGGACUACAAGUACACACCACCAUGCUUGGCUAAUUUUUAAUAAUUUUUGUAGAUGGGGUCUCACUAUGUUGUCGGGGAUGGUCUUGAACUCCCUGGCUCAAGAAAUCCUCCCACCUCAGCCUACCAAAGUGCUGAGAUUCCAGAUGUGAGCCACACACAGCCCCUUCUAAUUUGUUUUGAAAAAUAGUCAUUUUUCACUAAAACAUUGUUAGUAUUAACAUGAAAUCAACUUACUGUUAUUUUUAAAUAAAUAUUUUUAAACUUUCUGAUUUUUAACUUCUAGUAUGGCAAACAUUGAUAGAUUAAAAUUUUCUUUACAAGUUCAGCAGGACACACUGGCUCACACCUGUAAUCCCAGCACAUUGGGAGACCAAGGCAGGAAGCUCGCUUGAGGUCAGGUGUUUGAGAACAGCCUGGGCAACACAGCAAGGCCCCAGCUCUAUCAAAAAAAAAAAAGGUAAGUUAUCUGAGGUCCACAGCAAUUUAUAAAGAGGUCCUGGCCAGGCGUGGUGGCUCACGCCUGUAAUCCCAGCACUUUAGGAGGCCGAGGUGGGCAGAUCACCUGAGGUCGGGAAUUCGAGACCAGCCUAAGCAACAUGGAGAAACCCCAUCUCUACUAAAAAUAUAAAAUUAGCCGGGCAUAGUGGCAGGCGCCUGUAAUCCCAGAUACUCGGGAGGCUGGCAGGAGAAUCACCUGAACCCAGGAGAGGGAGGCUGCAGUGAACCGAGAUCACGCCAUUGCACUCCAACCUGGGUAACAAGAGCGAAACUCCCAUCUCAAAAAAAAAACGGAAGAGAUCCUGAGACCAAACUGUGUGAAACUCUUGAUGUAUGCAAAGGAAUUAAGAACAACAAAAAUGGAAAUUAUGUGGAUAAAUAUUAAUGACUUUUGUUCUCAAUUUUUAAAUACUUUAAAAGAUAAAAGAAAGCCAAAACAGCACAGCUGGGGUAGAAUGAAUGACAACACAAAGGUCAGCGAGGAAAAGAUGCAUCUUCUGCUAUUUGUGCAAUGGCAU
rnacentral:lncRNA from 10 species